rnacentral:lncRNA from 1 species
GUGUGGUUAUAAAGGAUCCAUCUCAUCCUCUGGCUUCAAGGCAAGAUAAGUAACCCAGGCCUGCCAAUAAGACCCAGGCAUGAGACUUCUGUUGCAAUCAUUACACUGAGCCUACAAAACUGGGAGAAUGUGAGCCUGGAGUUCUGAUGCCUCACUACGUUGAAAUCUUAUAUUUGAGAAUGAAGACAACACAGAAGAAAAUAGAGUUCAGAGAUGGACAAAAGGGAAUAAAGCCCUGAUCACAUUAUUUGAGCUCCUGAAACCAGCCAUGCCCGAAGUCAGAGAUCCAUUUCCUGGACUUUUCAGCUUUGUGAGCCAAUAACUUCUCAACGUCUUCCCAUUUAUUUGUUUAUUUCAUCUUAUUUUGAUUUGAAUUGGACUUCUGUCGCCUGCUGCCAAAAUAUUCCUAAUAUAAGGGAGACAGACAAAAAGGAAAGAAGCAGCAACCCAGAUAUGGCUGCUAACCCGGCGUCAACCAUGCAGUUGAGAACUGGGCUCUUGGAAUGGCAGAACAAUAACUUGGAAAGAGCCUGGGUCUUGAGGGACUAUGG